GGUGUACAGGUGGUGCAUGGUUGUCGUCAGCUCGUGUCGUGAGAUGUUGGGUUAAGUCCCGCAACGAGCGCAACCCUCGUUCUAUGUUGCCAGCGGGUUAUGCCGGGGACUCAUAGGAGACUGCCGGGGUCAACUCGGAGGAAGGUGGGGAUGACGUCAAAUCAUCAUGCCCCUUAUGUCUUGGGCUUCACGCAUGCUACAAUGGCCGGUACAAAGGGCUGCGAUACCGUAAGGUGGAGCGAAUCCCAAAAAGCCGGUCUCAGUUCGGAUUGAGGUCUGCAACUCGACCUCAUGAAGUCGGAGUCGCUAGUAAUCGCAGAUCAGCAACGCUGCGGUGAAUACGUUCCCGGGCCUUGUACACACCGCCCGUCAAGUCAUGAAAGUCGGUAACACCCGAAGCCGGUGGCCUAACCCUUGUGGAAGGAGCCGUCGAAGGUGGGAUCGGUGAUUAGGACUAAGUCGUAACAAGGUAGCCGUACCGGAAGGUGCGGCUGGAUCACCUCCUUUCUAAGGAG
rnacentral:rRNA from 1 species